rnacentral:rRNA from 1 species
UACGUAGGGGGCAAGCGUUGUCCGGAUUUAUUGGGCGUAAAGAGCGUGUAGGCGGCCAGGUAGGUCUGCUGUGAAAACUCGAGGCUUAACCUCGAGAUGUCGGCGGAAACCAUCUGGCUAGAGUCCGGAAGAGGAGAAUGGAAUUCCCGGUGUAGCGGUGAAAUGCGUAGAUAUCGUAAGGAAGACCAGUGGCGAAGGCGGGUCUCUGGACAGUUCCUGACGCUGAGGCACGAAGGCCAGGGGAGCAAACGGG